rnacentral:rRNA from 1 species
GACGAACGCUGGCGGCGUGCCUAAUACAUGCAAGUCGAGCGGGCCCCCGGAGGUGCUUGCACCUCCGGAAGGCCAGCGGCGGACGGGUGAGUAACACGUGGGCAACCUGCCUUUGAGGCCGGGAUAACACCGGGAAACCGGUGCUAAUACCGGAUGCGUCCCCUUUCGCGCCUGCGAGAGGGGAGAAAGACGGUCUUUAAGGCCGUCGCUCAAAGAGGGGCCCGCGGCGCAUUAGCUGGUUGGUGGGGUAAGGGCCUACCAAGGCGACGAUGCGGUGCCGACCUGAGAGGGUGAUCGGCCACACGGGGACUGAGACACGGCCCAGACUCCUGCGGGAGGCAGCAGUAGGGAAUCAUCCGCAAUGGGCGAAAGCCUGACGGUGCAACGCCGCGUGAGUGAGGAAGGUUUUCGGAUCGUAAAGCUCUGUUGUGAGGGAAGAACAGCUUCCGGAGGAAAUGCCGGAGGUUUGCCGGUACCUCACCAGAAAGCCCCGGCUAACUACGUGCCAGCCGCCGCUGUAAUAC